rnacentral:lncRNA from 1 species
UUAGACACCAUUUAGAGAAGAUUUGGAUCAGACAGUAACUCCAAAGUUACCACAGUAACUUUGGAGAGUUACCACAGUAAGAUUGGAGAAGUUUGGGCAAGUUGGUGUAAAAGUGAAUAGUGAAUCACUAGUCACUAUUCAGGUUGACUAUUCACUAUUUGGAUCACUAUUCAGGAUGUGAGGCACCAAGGUUUGAAUCUAGUCAAAGGGAAUCAAGAAGAUGCUGUGUGGAGCUGAUUGGUUACUUUGGAGCAUGGACAGGCUGGCUGUUGCUGUAAAGGAAGAGCAGCCACGACCAUGCACCUAGACUGAUCUGUAGACAGAUACAAAGGAGCCUAAGGAGAGCCAAUCACAGCACAGCCUUGGUUUGAAUUAAAGUGAGCCAGCUUAGCUUAUCCAAUCAGCACACAUCACUCAGAUUACAACAAGACCAACUCAUCCUCACCAUCCAUUCCCCUUAAGUUAUUUCUAUCCAUUAGAUAUAGGUUUAUGAGUUUGCAAGAGUGUAAAACCUAUAUAAAGACCCUCAUGGGCGUUUGUAACUCUCUUAAGAGAGUAUGGGGGAUUUCCCCAACUCCUUCAUAAAUAUAAAAGUGUGUUCUUGAUCAGAUUCCCUUAAUCUACCCCUUUCUUAGUCUCUAAUCUCUUAAUCUCUCUAAGUCUCUUUGUUUCUGAUUCAAGUUGAUACUAGUUUCAUCAGACCUCUUAUUCAACUAGUUCAAGACCUUAUUCUCUGCCUCUAAUGGCUUCUCAUACACAUACACAGCCAGAGUUCUCAAAUCUCAUAUGGUAUCAGAGCCAGGUUCAUCAGAACCUGAGCUGAGCUUCCGCAAAUCCACAGCUCUCAUCUCAGCUCAAACCAAACCCUUGAAGUCAUAUCCAUCCGAGUUCAGCUCUUGAAGAAGAAGAGACUUGAAGCCAUGGAGUGUUAUCCUGUCCCUCAAGCCGUUGCUGUGUGUACCUGAUGGAGAGAGUCUCAUUGGAAGCAAAGGAGGAUGGAGAGGCGUCAUGAACCUCAAGCCAAAACUCCUUGUCCAAGAGCUUGUUACAUCCUGCUACAAGAAAGAUGAAGUGAAGAGAAGCAGGCUUGAUAGUAUGGAGCAAGGAGGGGUCUUUGGAUGUGAGAAACAAGAAGGAGGCCAUGGACUGAAGGAGAAGGAGUUGGGUGACGACCUAGACUCUUGAAUCCAACCAUAUCAUGGCCAGAUUGCCUUUGGAGGUUUAAGGAACCAACCUGGUUCCUUGUGUAAGCGAUUCUUAAAACCUUCUUGAUAAUGAGCUUGUGUUGUGUUAUUGCCUGGUUAGUGUGAUGUGUAUUGAUUGAAAAACCCUGAGGAUAAUGUGUGAUUGCUAAAUAUAAUUAGUUGAAUCUGUCCCAGGAUGCUUUAAAGGCUUGUUUAGUGUUUAAAGAGUAAAAUGCUUGCUCCUGUUAAGUAAUGAGUUUGCUAAAUGUGAAAUGAUAUUGUUUGAAGCUCAUGAACUGAAAACAGAUUGAAAGUAAUGCAUUGUCUGAUGAUAAGUGAUGAUAGUAAUGCUUAGCCUAAGUUAUAAAUGAAUGUGUGAUGAAUUGUAUUGUUGCAUUCAUGAAUUAAAACUGAUUAAGGUUAGUGCAUACUGUCAAAUGGCUGUCUUACAUUGAAGCAUUAGAUUCAUGUCUAAAUGCUGAGAAAAGAAGCUUUAAAAAUUGCCUAAGUAGCUUGUAUUGAAUCUGUUAGGAUCAUGCUAGUGCUUAGAGAGUUUGCUUGCAAAGAUUAGAACUUGAAAAUGUCUAGUUUAAUCUGUUGCAUUGCUUAAAGACAUUGGUGUUCAAACUUGAUGAUGCAUCAAGGGUUGACCCAAUGCACUUGUGUCUUAUCUUUGCUGGAGUUUGAGUGAUGUUUCAGGUUCACAAGAGGUGUUCUUGGUUCACCAUCCAUCCGAGUUGAAAGAGGAAGACUUUGCCCAUUGUGUGGAGCAAUGGAGAGUUGAGAAAGAAGUGGUGAUGCACCACUGGUGUGAAGUCUCACUGAAGCUCACUUGCAAGCUUGGACCUAUACUCAAUCCAAGCUUGAGGAGGGGAGUUUAGUGAGCUUCCAACCGAUCCAAGAAGUCCAUUGCAACCAUCUGAAGAAGGAGCCAUCCGGGCUUAGGCUGUGGCGAGUCUAUUCAAGAGAGUACUCAAACUAAGACAGAGUACUCUUGGCUGUGAGAAGAUGAAGGCAACUCUAUCAAGGCGGCUUCUAGUGUGAAGUGAUUGGAGAGAUAGCUGAAGCUUCCACAAGCAUUCCAUGAAGAUGGCAAGAUCAGAAGAGAAGCGGCAAUGGUGUGUGUGUGAGGAUCAUGAAGCAAUCCAUUCAAGCUUGUUCCUGUGAGAGUCUCAAGCUUGAGGGGGAGUGUUGAAGCUUACAUGAUCCAAGAGAGCUUGGUGGUUAUUCUAGAAGAGGAAGCAACCUGUUGAGAAGUAUGAUGAAGGAUGAAGAAGCAAUGUCCAAGGCGGCGUCAAGUGUUGAGGUGAUUGGAGAGUGGCUGAAGCAUCCUCAUGUAGCUCAAGCAACAAGGUGGCGACUCUAGAAGAAGAAGAAGCAGCCAAGACUCAGUAAGAGAAGUUGUAUCUCCAAGAAGAGGCUGAUCUGGUGUGUCCGAGCACUUCAACCUAACAAGAGGUUAGGUGAAAGGGGGAGAGACCAAGAUUAGACAGUAAGGAGAGUACAAGGCGUGGGAUGAUUGUAGAGGCCAUGAUCUAGAGUCUUUGUGUCCCUUACAUUGUUGGUAAGGCACAAAGACUCACUGGCCAAUCCCUAGGCCUUGGAGACUUUACUCUUUUUCCCUCAUCAAGGUUUUGUCCCAAAGGGUUUUCCUUGGUGAGGUUUUUAAUGAGGAAGUUCUUCAAGGUUCCAAGCUUGACUUAGGAUCAACUAGAGUCAAGCUUGAGGGGGAAAUCCGGAUUGUACUGAGCUUAGCUGUGAAUCUUGGAUGGGGGUUAUGGCAAAUGGAUGUGAAGAAUGCGUUUCUACAAGGUGUGUUAACUUGAAGAGAAGAAGUGGAGAAGCAAAAGUGAUGAGUUGAGUUGGUGCUUGUGCAAAGACAUGGCAAGAUCUUCAGAGAUUGUAUGUUAAGGCUUUGGGAGAGUCUUAAGGCUUCAGAAGUGGUUUGAUGAGUGUGCAAAGAUAGGGUUAAGUCCAGGAGGGACUUAGACACCAUUUAGAGAAGAUUUGGAUCAGACAGUAACUCCAAAGUUACCACAGUAACUUUGGAGAGUUACCACAGUAAGAUUGGAGAAGUUUGAGCCAGGAGGGACUUAGACACCAUUUAGAGAAGAUUUGGGUCAGACAGUAACUCCAAAGUUACCACAGUAACUUUGGAGAGUUACCACAGUAAGAUUGGAGAAGUUUGGGCAAGUUGGUGUAAAAGUGAAUAGUGAAUCACUAGUCACUAUUCAGGUUGACUAUUCACUAUUUGGAUCACUAUUCAGGAUGUGAGGCACCAAGGUUUGAAUCUAGUCAAAGGGAAUCAAGAAGAUGCUGUGUGGAGCUGAUUGGUUAC